UACGUAGGGUGCGAGCGUUGUCCGGAAUUAUUGGGCGUAAAGAGCUUGUAGGCGGUCUGUCGCGUCUGCUGUGAAAAUCCGGGGCUCAACCCCGGACUUGCAGUGGGUACGGGCAGACUAGAGUGUGGUAGGGGAGACUGGAAUUCCUGGUGUAGCGGUGAAAUGCGCAGAUAUCGGGAGGAACACCAGUAGCGAAGGCGACACUCUGGGCCGGUACUGACGCUGAGGAGCGAAAGCGUGGGGAGCAAACAGG
rnacentral:rRNA from 1 species